UCCCUGGUGGCUCAGCUGGUAAAGCGCCUGCCUACAAUGCAGGAGAUCUGGGUUCAAUCCAAGGGUUGGGAA
rnacentral:tRNA from 1 species